ACAUCACACACAGCUUCUAUUGUUGCUUUACAGUGUUAUGGCUUGAUUUUAUUAUGUCUGUCAAAACAACAUAGGCUGUACAAGAACUUUUUUUGAUUUGUUAUUCAUUGCUAUUUUAUUUCUGUGUGCAACUUUUUCUCUUCAAAACAGCAUCAUAAUGUAAACAGCAAAAAAAGAAAAAAGCCCACAUUGAAGUGAAAGAGAAAAAAAGUUUGAAGAAUUUUGCCCUUUUAAUGAAAACAUAAGAUUAAAACAAAUUAUAAAUAAGAAGUAAUAUAAAAAGUAUAUUACUAAAUGAAAUAUUUUUGGAAUGUGCUGAAUAAAUAAAUAAAUAAAGUACCGUAAAAAUAUCCAUAUUUUUAGAAUAUAUAUCUGUGGCAGUUUAUAUCUGUCACUUCACUGUAUAUUGUAAUUAAUUAUGAGUGUUCCGACACACUUUUUCAGUGACGUCAUUUAGCCUACUGUAUGCAUACAGCCUAUAUGACCUAGCCUGGAAAAAUCAUCGCCAAGAAAAUUCAUGGACAGUCUCUCGCGUAUGGCGGGAGAUGGCCCAUAGAAUCACCAAGAGUCGGAUACGUGUGAAAUGGUUAAUGAAUGAAUUAAUGCAUAUUUAUUGUCGCUCAAAUCCAGAAAAAAAAUAUCCUUCACCAUUGUUUUUCGUGACAGAGCCAGGCCUCGUUUGAGUUCAUUAUCGAUUAGACACGUAACUCCAACUGUAGAUGGUUUCAAAUUAAUUCAUAUUUGUUUCCAAUAAUAUUAUAAAUAUAUUACACAAAUUGCUCACACUUCCCCCCCUAGAAUUACACUUUGAUUUAAAUUAAAAUAUUAUUUUAUCAUUGCAAAACGGUUACUAAUGGUUCAAAUUAACUACAGAGAGAGUGAGGGAGGGAGAGCCUGUAUCAGGCGAAUAUACCUGGGCGCCAGAACAAACCUGAUUUCCCUGUGAAACUCAACUUAAACUAUCGUAUAAUAAUAAUAUAUCAAAGACGAAGCUUGAACUAAGUGGUUGUAAAUAAACCACAGUAUAUUAAUGUUAAAUCUGAAAGCAUUAAACGCUCGUCGAAAAAUGAAUGAAUGGCCUAACAUUAUGAAUCAAGCUCUUGUAACUACCUGCGUUUAUGGCCACUUGAUUCGUUCAGUAUUAGCAGAUGAUCCAGCCGCCAGAUGGUGAUUUGUGCCUUACUUGGAUCCCACAUUAACCUAUUAUAAUAUCGUUUAAUUAAACACAAUUAUGGCGAUGAUAUUUGAUUGCACUUCAGGUAUGAGAAAUAAUUAAAAGCAAUGACCGUCGGUGUCGUAUAAAAACUUAUAUUUAAGAAGCUUCUCGGCGAUACCUGCAAUUGCUUUUGGUAAUGACGAAGCGGCAAACUGUUGAGUUAAUAAUAAUAGGCUAAUGAUAAUAAUAGCUAAUAAUUUUGUAAUGUAUUGAUAUUACAUUAUUUGCGUUUUUUAAAUAGUUUGGACGUAUAUUUUAAAGAGAAUGUAUUAGGGGAAAACAAUGUACAUUUAAAGAAUAAUUAUAAUAAUGCAUUAUGCUAUAAUAGUAAUAAUAAUAAUAAUAAUACACAUUCUUAUAUCCUCUGUAUACUCUGUUCAUCAUUUAAAUUAAAAUGAAUGCAGAUACAUUUGAAACAGUAGGCCUAUUAUAUCUGUAUGAUGAUAUGAACACGGGAACCCGUAAUAAACAUCUUAAGUCAAUGAAAUCACACACAGAUUGAAUGCAUUCAUAAAGUAAAUCUGUCGAAUAUGGAAGAGCACAACACUGAUUAGCUAUUCAAAGCAACGAAAUGAAAUAAGUUAUAGAUGAAAUAAGGGAAGUACAGAAUAUACGCCAUAUAUCAGUAGUCUUUAAUGAGCGCUUGUGUUUUAAAAACUGAGAUCAGGCCCUCCAACACAAAAACGAAACUAUAAUCUCUCAGAGAACUACACAAUAAAUGCCUUGAAAUGUAAAUAAAAGAAGGUCUGAUAUAUAUGGUUUGAGCACUCAGGAGAGUUGACCUCCAACACAAAAGCGAAUUAAUCUUGAAUGACCAACAACAAAACACGAAAAACGACAGUCUGACCUGUUAAUAGCGAUUCUCACAAGUCUCGUGUGCUACAGAAGUCUUGAAGUGUGCAUGAGAAAAUAUCAAGGCCCACAUUUCUGUCUCAAAACAAACCGAGUAUGCUGUUCUCCCGGCAAUUUGAAUCAACAGGUCAUCAGGCCCACGCGAGCUUUACUGCAUAUGUUCAGAUAGCUACUAAAAUGUCCUAAUAUUUUAAUAAUUGUCGCAGCGUACAUAUGGUCAUUGAAACACAUAAGACGAGCAUUUUCAAAACUGCGCAGUUUCAUAUAGUCUACUAGUUUUUCAGUUAAAAAGAAAUUAUUUUUAAUGAUCAUUUUCCUCUGGAAACAGAUAUAUCAAGCUCAUAACAUUAUACUUCGUUAUAACUUCGUUAUAACACUUAUUAAAUUGCUACAUAAUUUAAGUAUAAUGAAGCCUUUUCUAAUGAAUUGUCCACAUUGCUCUGAAUGCUAUAAUCGCAUGCAAAAGUUUCACGGGCACUCAAUGUAAGAAAAUAGUUUGAGUGUGAAAUCCUACCUAUUACAAACAAGUCGGAAUACAAAUGAAAGCCAAACAAACAAUAAGCAAAGACAUCGUGCAGAGUCCAGAGGAGAUUUACACACUUUUCCUCGCCUUCGAAAGAGUCCAGAAAAUAGCUGACUCUAUUUUCUUCAAUAAGACAUACAGCCUAUAUGCAUUAUUGAUUUGCCAUUCGCAGAUGAAGCACACCGAACCGCAACAGACCCCAGAGGACAAGGAUUCCUAAACGCGACCUCCUAAUUUUAGAUUAUCAGAAUGAAUUGUCCGUUUUGUUUCAUAUUCCUUCUUCUAUGGCAUCCAGUGGACAGGCAGAAAGCUCUGGAGAUCUCCACACUCGGUCUGUGCGUCCUGGGGUCCAUGAGCAGUGCUAGAGCGCCCACUAUUUCAACAAGCAGGAAUAUGAUUUCACAAGACCUGGAACCACUCAAUAAAAAAGUUACUAUCCCUUUCGACAACUCUUCGCUAACUUUCGCGUAACAAUUCUCUACGGUUUCUCGACUUCGCUAAAACACGAGAGUGAAACAACACGGCGUGGAAACGCUCUCCUGAUCAUUUCAGCCAAAGCACCACCACAAACGAAACUUGUGAACAAGCACACUACGGCAGCAUCUGCUCUAAAGGGUGGACGCGCGGAUCACGGAGAGUUUGAGCGAUUUCAAUGCAAUUGAGAGCUGAAAAACAAACGCACCGGACAAAGACGCGCUCUCAGCAGGAACUGAUCAAUGAAAAUGACACUUUGGUGAUGUGCGCAAGGGUUCAAAGUGCCGUGCGGCCGCUCAGGAGCGAAAGUAUCGCAAUAAGGACCUACUUUUGGCCAGUUUUCUCGCCCUCGCCUUGGAUCUCAUCUUGUCGGCUUGUAGAUUCCUCGCGUCCUCCUUGAGCUCAGAAGCAGCAGCAGCGCUAUCUUCAUCUCACGAGCAUUAUCACUUAUCUCUUUCCCUCCUCCUCCACUCGCUCCGCAACAUCUCGGAUCGCCCCCCACCUCCCCUUCUUGAGCUCCUGAAGAGGAAUAAGUGCUAUUUUUCAGGGACCUGCGGAAUUCGGUACGACACUGGACACUGAAUCCUGGAUGGGGUCAAGGUCGCAGCCCUCAAACGCAAGGUGAUCGCGAACAUUUCACGCACUCAAAUAAUAAGCGACGAUUUAAAGCAUGAAAAUAUUGUUGAAAAAGAAUUAUACUAAGCAUAUUUCUUCAUAAAAUAAAUUAUUAUUAUUAUUAUUAUUAUUCAUGCUGGUUCAGAAAAUGAAAAUAGUAGAAUGUUCUCUGGGCAUAUUAUUCAUUUUUAACUUUAUUGUGAAAGUCCCUGUAUCUGAUGUAGAUUUAAGAACAUUAGUGAGUGCCUCAUAUAUAUAUAUAUAUAUAUAUAUAUAUAUAUAUAUAUAUAUAUAAACUAUUAACAUUACUAAUUUAGGUGAGCUCUAUAAAUAGGUAAAAGGUGUGUUCAGUUUCAGUGUUGCUAUUGAGAGCCACCCGAGUCUCCGCGCGCUAGACUCCAGACGGCCAGGAGCUCCCGCGUGCGUGCAUGUGUGUAUGUGUGUGAGAGAGAGAGAGCGCGCGCGCGAGAGAGAGUGUGUGUAUGUGUGUAAUGUAAAAAGAGUAGAAAUACUGUAUGUAUGAGUGCACGCGUGGGAUCCGCACUGAGAAGGUAUGCAUAUAAACUCUCUCUUGAAACAAUGCACUCUGGGGUUUGUUUGGGUCUUAGGUCUAGAUUAGGUUUUGUACAUCAGUAUUGCUAUGUACAAAUUCGUGGCAGUUUAUGUGCAGGUAAAGCAAGCAGGGAACGACAAGGCAACCGAUACACUCAUGUAAGUAUGAUUCUGUUGAAUUAUUUGUUGUACGUAGCCUAUAACAAAGUGCAGUCAUGUUUGCAUGUGCACAAUCAUUGCAUUUUAAUGGUCACUGUAAGGCUGUAGGCGUGCUGUCAGAAUCAAGCCUCAGGAGUGCAACAGCAGGCUCAACAUCCGCAGUUAUUUUCUGCAAUUGGCACGUAAUAUAGAUCCUGUUAGACAUCAAAAGAUAGGAGUCAGUAUGAUGCGGAAAGUCGGAAAUUGACGUUACUUGCUAACUAUAUUUGAAUUAUUUUGCGUUUUGCAUUAUUAAAAACUAUAUAAUACAGGCUGCCGUUUUUUUUUUUUUUUUUUUUUUUGCCAAAAUAUAGCCUAAUACAAUUCUAUUUUAUUAUUAUUAGGCCUAUUAUUAAUAAUAAUAAUAAUAAUAAUAAUAAUAUUUUUUUCUCAAUUGUAUUGGAAUUUACAGUACAAGAUUAAGAUGACGGCAAUUAACCUGACAAUUUUUAUUUAUUAUUUCUCUUUGUAAUUAGAAGACCAUUCUGCAAUAAAUCGGAUCUCGUGUUGUCAUCAGAUCCCGUGGGAGCACAUGGGCUCGCGCAGGUGUCUUUCAAGAUAUUUAAAGCAGCCAUUAACAGUAAUCCAUGUCCACUAACUUCGAGUCUUUUUCCGUUGAUAUCAUUCCCCGACAUAUAGGCAUUAUAUAGGUUACUCUUUUAUGCUUUUAUGAAGAUGAUGAUAUUGAAGAGGUCCGAGCUCCUCGCGUAUUAAAACCAAUAAAUAUGAUUGUAAACAUUAGCACAUAAACAUAUUGUGAAACAAUGUCUUUUUCUCAAAUAAAUAUAUUAGGCCGAAUGAGGCACGAAACGUUUAUGUUCUUCUCUGGUGGAUUGCUGCCUUUUGAUUUUGUGCAAAUAAACUCCAGAGCCUAUUUCAUUCAUAAAUGAAAUAAUAAUUUUGCACAUUAUUUGGCUCAUCUGUUUUUGGCGCGUUAAAGAGGUUUAGAUGGAUUAACAAGGCGAAAUGCUUUAAACACUUUUACAUAUAUAAACCUGCCGUUACCUGCUCUGAAGGAAGAGGUGAUCUUGUUACUAAGCCCCCACUGACGAAUGACAUUUAUUGGUUUAUUGAUUGACUCCAUAUUAAACGUUUUAUCGGUAAAACCUUCUCUUGUCAAGACAUAUGAUACGAUACGAAACACGUACUGCCAUUCAAUUGGAUAUGUGAUAUACAAAAAUUCUGAGUUUAUUUCUUUGAGAAAUCCUUUUUUUUUUUUUUUUUUUUUUAAGUUACAUAUAAAUUAUAAUUGCCCACAAGAUGUACAGGUGUUGGGUAGGCUAUUAAAAAUGUGACAUUGUUGAAUUAUUAAUCUAUAUCAUUUAGCCUAUAAUUCAACUGUUGUUUUAUUUUAGAGCGAGCAAAGAUGACUUGAUAUAUAUAAUGUGCCACUUUUUUUCUUUAGUAAAAGCACGCCAUUCGCCCAUUCCUUACGCAACAAUUCAAAUGAAAAUCUCUCUCACGCAUUGGGGCUGGACUUUUUUUUUCAUAUAUGGAGCAACACCUUUGUAAAGGCAUUUAACUGUAAUUACACUUGUAAAGAAAAGUGUUGCUCCUCAUCACUAGCUCAUUGGGGAAUAGUUUUCUGCGUCAUUUAAACGUCUGCCUUUUUACAAGCUCCUGGAAACGUGACGGCUAUGUAACUACGCAUUUGGACUAUUUUCUUUCCAGAUUGUUGCCAUUUUCCUGUGGUUUAGCACAGGAAGGGAGGGAUGCUGGCCCAGACCCCGGAAGAGAGGUGUUCUGCAAACCAGGCCUCAGGAACAUCCACACUGAGAACUGAUGUCAGUGACUGAGUUUGUGUCAUCAUAAUUAGGCUUAAUUAAGAGCAGAAUUCAAGAGGUUUGUCAACUGAGUAUCACAAACAAUCAAUCACAUAAAUCUAUGUAAUUUUAAAUAUAUUAACCCAUUAUAUAUGUUUGAAUAUGUCUACAGUUGUAAGUGUAUUUUAUUAAGUUCACUAAAUAAAAUGCAUAAGCCGCCA